rnacentral:lncRNA from 1 species
AUUUUUUUAUUAGCUUAUCCCCUGCCUCUUGCGUCCAUUGUAUCCAUUUAGGUCUUCCCCAAAACCCUUCAUUCCCUUUUAAUUUCCCUUCCAAGUUAAUCCCUAAGAUAGAAUUCACCUGUUGAAACCCUCAAAAUUGUGAACACAUCUAAUCCUCAUCCUUUAUUCCUCACCCCACAUCCUUCCCACCAACCCUUCUCCUAAAAGGACGGUUUCCAUCAUCUUCCCUCAACCAAAUACUUUUGGUAAUUGUCGCUCUCCUCCAUCGUACCCUUAAGGAUAGA